rnacentral:rRNA from 1 species
AGUGAGCGCUGGCGGUAGGCCUAACACAUGCCAGUCGAACGGCAGCACAGUAAGAGCUUGCUCUUACGGGUGGCGAGUGGCGGACGGGUGCGGAAUACAUCGGAAUCUACUUUUUCGUGGGGGAUAACGUAGGGACACUUACGCUAAUACCGCAUACGACCUACGGGUGAAAGCAGGGGAUCUUCGGACCUUGCGCGAUUGAAUGAGCCGAUGUCGGAUUAGCUAGUUGGCGGGGUAAAGGCCCACCAAGGCGACGAUCCGUAGCUGGUCUGAGAGGAUGAUCAGCCACACUGGAACUGAGACACGGUCCAGACUCCUACGGGAGGCAGCAGUGGGGAAUAUUGGACAAUGGGCGCAAGCCUGAUCCAGCCAUACCGCGUGUGUGAAGAAGGCCUUCGGGUUGUAAAGCCCUUUUGUUGGGAAAGAAAAGCAGCAGGUUAAUACCCCGCUGUUCUGACGGUACCCAAAGAAUAAGCACCGGCUAACUUCGUG